rnacentral:misc_RNA from 1 species
UGUUUUUUUUUGUCCACAAAAUCAAACCAAUUUAAGAAGCAUACUGUUUCAAUGGAACUUGAGAAACUCCUCACAACCAAAACCCAAAGCUGAACACCCCCGGUCCCCCAGCCAGCGACUUAUUUUUAUACAAUGCAUACACAACAAUUUUUUCAGAGUACUCAAUCAAAACUUGCAUUGAUCACUCUCUUCCAAUCCGAUUCGUUAGAUUGAAAUGUCCAUCAUGUCCACC